UGAAAAGUGUUUGUGGGAAAAAAUAACUUUGUGGCUUUGUCUUUCGUUUGCUUAUAGUAUUUGAGUCUGUUGAGUGACAUGUUGUACGUCUGUGAAAACAUGUCACUCAUAUGUUUGUGUUUCUGUGAUUGUGUCAUGUAAUGGCCAUGUUCAUGGCCCUUUGAUUUAUAUGCAAAUAUUAGAAUACAUGCUAUGGCUCUGUUAAUUACCAUCUUAUUUUUCAUCACCCAUAAUUUUGUUUCGCAUCAUAGCUCCAAUUAAUCAUGAAAAUUGAUGCAGCUCCAGUUAAUCAUGAAGUUGAAGAGAACGUAAUAUACGUACCCCUACAUAAAAUACUAUGGAUAUUGAUGGACUUAUAGUUCAAGUAGUUUAAUAUACCUUUCAAUCUGAUCUAAGGUUUGAUGUUCGAUUUCUCCUCUGUUAACACCGUUGGUAUUAAGAAACAAAAUGAAGACAAAUAUGACGGAUAUGUCCAUUAUGUUCUCUAUUUGAAACCCUUUUGGAUCUAGGGAUUGCUAGCUAGUAUGCUCGAUCAUCUUUAUUUAGCACUUCAAGAUGUUUUGAUUCCGUUUGCUCUUCCUUUGAGCAACCAAAACGAAUGGCACAAAAACGAAGAAUUAGAAAUCCCAUUUCACUGUAUUGGUGGUGUGAAUAGGGAGAGGGUGUCUUAAUUUUUUCUCACAUGGUCUCGCUUGAUUCGUUUGAGAUAGCGCCAACUAGGCGUCUAUAUUUCAUUUAAUUCCUCAUGAAUAAGAGGUUAGAAAGGGAUUAGUUUAUCUGAGAUAUUGAGAUGACAUAUUGUAACUUUAUAAAUUUUGAUGGGCGUAACUGUAAAUCUCAACAAAAUUACGUAAAAUACAAGUCAAAUAAAGAAGCUCUCCUUGUAUUAUUCUUCAACGUUCAAAUAUUAUUAUGUUGUAUGUCUAAACCUAAAAUAAAUGGUUUCCUUUCAAAACUGUUCAUGUAGCCUUCAACUUAUUAUCUUAACCAUCUCCGGCAACUUCAAACAUUGAAGCCUUCUGCACGUAGGCACUUGAGAUGAGCAUCGAUCCAUUUUGUGCAAGCGUCUUGACCAUGCUCCACAAUGCAUUCAUCUCGCAGCUUCUUAGUAUCCGGGCAAGCACAGCAUAUCUUCUUCUUCGGCUUUGUGUCCAGGGCAGGAGUAGUGACUGCUGACCCUUGAUUUGGCUGCGACCCUUUCAAAACCAAGGCAGAGGAAGUAUAUUCCGCUGGCAGUCCACCCAUUUCUCAAAUUUCUUGAAGACCUAUUAGAAAUACACUAUUAAAAACCGAAAAAAAAUACAAAGAACAUCAGCUUCGACUCAGAGCAGCCUUGAUGUUAAACAUGUAUUCAUUAAGGGCGGUAUACACCAUAUCUUACCUAAACAGAGAGAAUGGAAAAAAGAGAUACGGCGUCUUACUUUACUAGAACACAUCCUAAAAUUCAUUGAUCGCGCAUUAGCCUAAUCACUAGACACUAGCUCAUGUAAAACGAAGGAAAUCACCGUAAAGGAAAAGCCCGUUUAUUUAAGCAUGCAACGAGUUCAGAUCAACUAAACCACGCCUCUAAAUUCCAUUAAAUACAGAAAUCAAUCAAUUGAGACCAACCCUUUCAUAUCAUAGCAAAGGUGAACCAAUUUCAAUACUGAAGCAAUUCAACCAAUCUCCCAAAGUACUGGUAAGAGCCUAUUUACCAGCUUCUUUCAGCUUCAAACCGAAAAUCCGUUUUCCUACUAUUUUACUUGAAUUCAAAAUUCUCCAAACGGGCACUAAUCUACAGAAGGAACUCAAAACUAAAAACCCAAAUGAAGUAAUAAACUUUUUUCACACUGAUUCCGGAUUUCAAUCAAGAUUCAAGACACACCCUUUAUCCAAUACCCACUCUGGCAUUCCUUCAAGCACAUGGUGGGCACUUUGUUACUACAAUCAACUCCAUCAUACAUGCUAUACAUUUACCAGAACUAGCAGAAACUACCAAUACAAAGGGAAAAACAGAAAACCCAGAAGAAAAUUAAAGCAACCCAUCUAAUCAAACACGAAGACAGCCAUAACCACAGAGAUUUUGGAACCUUACAUCUAAUUUAUUGGAUCUCAGAAGGGUAACGAAAUUUGCAACAGAAAUGUAUGCGAAAAGGAUGGAAUUACUUACCAAUGAUACGGAAGGUGGAGAAGCUGAAACGAAGAAGCUUUGCGUCUUCUGCAGAAAUUGGGAGCAGCGAAAAGGUGUUUCUCUGGAGACGAAAGUGGCCGCUCAAAAUUUCAAGGCUUAAACUGGGCCGCGUAUGAGUCGAAAGGUCAACCAUGUGUUGGGCUCAGUGGGCCUACACAAAAUAUGCUGAAAAGUUUCAUUUUUUAAUUUUUUUUUUUAAUAAACGAUAUUAUUUACACGAAAUGAGAGAGUAAGGAUUUAAUCUCAUAAUAGGUUAGCAAUAGUUCAAAUUAAUAUUUAUCAAGUGUCGAUGAGAAAUGAAUACUACUAGACAAUAGUACUAAGUGGCUUUUUUUUUUUUUUUUUAAUUUUGUUAGUGAUAAAAUAAACAUUUGGACGAACACAAAGCAAUAUGUAAAUUGUUAGGAAACCAGGGGACUUUUUGACAAUACAAAUCUCCUUUAAUGUAACGUGAUUAUAGCCGUUAGAUUGACAAGUUUACUCAGACUUCUCUAGUAAGAUAUAGAUUAAUCAACACUAUGUUGAGAGUGAUCUCAUGAUUGCACAGCCAACUAUUAUCAUGAAUUCCAAAAAAUGCAAAUGUGAGUUACCUCAAUUGGUCACACAUUGUCACGAAACCAAGUAAAAGACACGAAUAAAUGCAUUUGUUGUCAUUUUAUUCAUUCCUUAAUGUGAAAAUUUACAACAGGGACACAAGCGAAUGUGCAAAAUUGCAAAUAAACAAGAGAGUUUGUAGAACAUGUUCAAGAUUAACAAGAUCCAAACAACCUAUAAACUAACCAGAAGUGAAAUCUUAUCUUUGUUUUUCUCUAUCUGCAAUUCUUGUAGUUACCAGAAUUCAACGUCAUUUGUUUUGUUAGACAAAAUCAUUCCAAUUUCCAACAUGAUCAAGAAGUUGAACAACUCGAAAUAUAAGAUACUCCCGAGCACCUUAGAAGUUUCGCAGCAGAGCAAAUGCAAUUCUCUACUAAUCAUACUUCUCCCUCCAUGAGUACACAAGAAGUAACACCCAUGAAAGCGCCAAUGUGACGUCACCGGCGACAUGUUUUGGCCAGUCUCCGGCGAGCUCUUCGAGGUUCCUCUCGAAGUAAACUCUCCAAAUGGCCAUGGAAAUGUGGAGCAACACGCAACCCUUGGCAAAGAAGCUCUGGAACUUAUGGUCUUUGACAAAAGCAACCAUGAACAGAAGGAAUCCAAUGGCAAACAGAAGGAAUCCGGAGAAGGAAUCCGCUGUUCGGAUCAAAAGCCGGUCGUGAGGCGUCGACCCUUGGAGCUUGCUUGCUGUCUCAUGGCCAUGGCUGAACACAGAGAAUUCGUAGGAGUAGAACAUCAUGAAAGCUCCACAAAUCAGAGCAAUCACAGAGUGGAGCAUGCAUAUUAGAAAAAACCCAGAUAACCCCAUUGCUCAAAAUCCCAAGUAAAACACUAAUCUUUCUUCUCUUCACAAAUAAACUUCGAGACGUGGGCGUAGUCACAUUAGCCAGAAAAGACGUGCUCCCCUGUGCACCGAGUUUGAAUCCCCUUCUCCUCCGCAGUUUACAAUAUCGCAAAAAGGAUCACAUAUAUAUCAAAAACCCUAAACCCUGAACUCUCACUUCACAAAUCCCAGAAACCGGAGCAAGUAAAUUGAUCAGAAGCCAACCUUACUUAGCUUCCACUCUAAAACUCAAAAAACCCAGAUGCUAGAUUGACCCACAGACCAAGAUUUCAAGAUUUUUAAGAUUUGAAAUAAAGAAUCAAACCUCAAACAAGGAAAACCCUAAUCUUAUUUAUCAAUGUUUUCCACAUGAUUUAAAAAAACAAGGGGGUUUUGCAUUUUUGGCAGAGUGAAGAGAGGAAAGAGGAAUGGAGCUUGGUUGAGAAAUUUCAGCAACUACAACAUGCCGAUUGGCAGGGGAGGGAUUUUUCUAUUUGUGGUGAAUUAUUUUAUCUGAUUUUAUUAGCUGCAGAAAUUUAAAGAUGCUAUAAAUGGAAAGGAUUAUACAGAUUUAAACUUUGCUUCUGUCUACAAAACCCCACAGCUCAUGAACAUUUUCUGGUUUCUUCCUUGUUCUGCAAAUCAAUUGGAACAUUUGUGGGGGUCUACAUUAUUUUUCUAAUUUUCUUUAGGUUGUAUUAUUACUAAAUUGACCAAAAAAACAUAGAAUACACCAUAUCUAGAAAAUAUUUCCUCACAUCCUUUUUCAGAAGAAAAUUAAGAAAAAAAUGUAUUUUUUAGGAGGCUCAUAAAGACUUUUGUCCCUCUUUUGAAGAUUCUAUAUUUUGUCUUUUUUAAGUUGGGAAAAUUUGAAAUACGUCCAAUUUUAUAGGCAUACUUUUGAAAUAGGUCCAAUUUUUAGUUACUUUGGACCAUGGUCUAAAAUAUCCAUAAUAUCCCGAUAUUUUUAUCAAAAUUUCCGUGUUUUUGGACUACCGAUAUUUUUUUGGACUACCGAUAUUUCCGAUUUCAUCGAUAUUUUAGACCUUACUAAGUCACUCAUGUAUCUUACCAUGCAAUGUAUAAAGUGCAAAAUAUUGUAUUAAUUUAUUAUAUAUAAAUAAUUAUGGUGUGUUUAAACUUUUUUCAUUAAUUACUACAUAUUUUCUACACUCACAAUGUUUGACAGCUCGCUAUAUAAUCAACUUAAAUCAGUUAUAUCUAUCAUGCAAUUCAUUUCCUUCCAAUUUUUUGUGAUAAACUAAUAGAUAAUUGACUAAAUAAACAUUCUGCAAAGUUUCAAUAAAAAUUUCCAAGUUUUUCUUACAAUUUUCGUGGUUUUUAUUCAAUUUCUAUCGAUAUCGAUAAUAUCCCGAUAUUUCCAUCGAAAUUUCCGUAUUUUUAGACUACCGAUAUUUCCGAUAUUAUCGAUAUUUUAUACCUUACUUUGAACUCAUAUCAAAAGAUCCCUUUUAAAUUUGAAAGAAAGAGCAUCAUUACGUGAGCUAUUUUAAGAUACUAGUAACGCCUACAGUUUUAUCUUAAAAAAAAACGCAUCUUUAAUGGGAGAUACAAGUUGCUUCGAGAUUGACAUAUUAUAUUUUUAUUUUAUCGGAAAGCCUUGUAAUGGAGAAAUGUAAGUUAUCCAUCUUUGGAUGUGGGUUUCGUUAGUCGAAGAGAGAAAAAUAAAUGAGAUCCAAAUUUACAUUUUUUUUGUUGGAGUACAACUCAUAUUUAGAUUUAUUUUUAAUGUAAAAUAAGAUGUAAAUGUGAUAUUUACGUCACAAAAUUUACAAUUUUCUAUCAGAGAUGUUCUAAAAGCGGUGAAAAAAUUCAAACUCUCGAAAAAAAUAUUUGAAAAAAAAAAUGAAUUGUUAUUAGCAUUCUAAAAUUCUCAUUCUACACUCCAAACUUUUUAUAUUUAGAAAGAAAACUACAUUUGUGAGGAGUACAGAAUGAGAUUUUUAGAGUGUCAAUAAUACUUCCCAACAAAAAUCAUUUCUAAAUAAUUAGCCCAAAGAGAAGUGCGUUCACUUCACGUCUUAAGCUGUCUUACCAUGACUCAAUGUUUUUUUAAUUAGGAAGCUCACGUCUUGCAGAUGUCUAUGGAUUCAUUGGAGGAGGGUCCCUUAAAUUUUCUAAAAUAUUGAGUCUUGUUUAGGAAAAAAAUUUCCUUGUAACCGGAACACGGAUGAUACACCAUGUGUUUUUAUAUAAGUAGUGGGAAAUUUUAUUUUUUUAAUUAUUAACUUUUUAACACACAUAUCACAUCAUUUAUAUAAUGACACGCGAUGAACCACAGCAUGUUACCGUCAUAUUGAAAAAUCUCUCAUUGUUUAGCUCAUUGCAAACGCAAGUAGUUAUUUUUUUAAUAAUUAUACAAAAACAUCUCAUUAAACCCACAUAAGAGAAAGUUUUUGCUCGUCAAAUCAUGAUUUUUCUAAAAAAAGAAUGAUAACUUCUUGUGCGUAAAUGAAAGAUUACAUCGCCAUGCUAAGAAACCCUUCAAACUAAACUUGUUCUUUUUCACAAUGUGAGCUGGUGCUGUCAGAAUCUUGUGCAUCUGCAUAUAAAAAUUAUCUAAAGUGGAUGCACAAGAAAAUGAAUGCCAAGGGUUUGAUGGAUGGUUGGUUGUAAAUGUCCAUGUACAAAGUAAGCUGUAUUGCUUUGUUCUCUCCUGCACCAACCCAAUGACAACUUUACUAUAUCUUAUACAUUGAGAUUCACAUAACAUUAGAAGUAAUCAUCAUCAUAUGAUUCAUAUGUGACCACCACCUCACUUGCAGGCUACAGCUGUGGAAGUGCCCAUUCUUUUAUCCAUAUUAUUAGCGGUCGAGUUUAACCUAUUUAUAUUUGUGUUGUGGCCCUGUCAAUCUACAGGUUGAUUAACAUACAAAAUGACUUUAAAAUAAUAAUUUAAUGAUACAAUAGCCUGCGUUAUUCUUCAAACAUUUGAGAAAAAUUAUUGUUUAAUUGUUUCCGCGGAGUUUUUAUUUUCAUGUUAAUUUCAAAUCAUGUAACAUGUCUUGUUUGGAAAUUGUCAUUCUUGGUAUGUUGCUCAAGAGAAAAUUUUUAUUAUGCUCGGAAAAUGAGUGGUACAUCACGUGUCAUUAUAUAAAUAAGGGAAAUUUUAUUUUUCAAGUUGUUAAUUUUUUAACAUAAAUAUCUCUUCACUUGUAUAAUAAAACGUGAUGUACCACUAGAUAAUCUCGUGUUGCUCAAUCCCUCAAAUUCAUCACGCACACUUACCAAUGCAUAGCCAACUAAUGGCCAUAGUAUGGGAUCACAUGAUUACAGCCUCUUUACGAACCAAUGCUCUAAUCAAAGCAUCAAUCCCUGCUUCUUGCAAAAGCAAACCUCCUCUCCUCUACCCUCGCCUUUCCUCUCCCCCCUUCUAAAACCUCCAUUUUCUCUAAUCAAUUUCUGAAUCUCUAGUGCUUGUAUGUUAAUAGCUUUGCUGACAACAAAAUUUUAUCCAGGUCAGCUAUAUGAAUCUUAGAACGUCACUGUGCUCAGUUUUUUGUCAUAUCUUCCGCUAGAUUCAAGUAAUCCAAGUCUCUUCUUAAAGUCUCUUCCAAGUCUUCCUCUACCCCUUUGGACAUGAGUCUCUGUCUCGUAAUCUCAUAUUCUAACUGGGGUGUUUUGUAGGUCUUCGUUUUAUAUGUCCAAUUGUGACUACUCUUAUCUUCAAUUGUGGCUACUCUUAAUUUAUCUUGGAUAUCUUCGUUCAUAAUCUUGUCAUUUUUCGUGUACCCAUACAUCCAAGGAAGCAUUUUCAUCUCCGCUACACUCAUUUUGUGUAAGUGAAUGCUUCAUCGCCUAGCAUUUCAUGCCAUAAAUCAUUGCUAGCCUUAUUAUCGUCCUAUAAAAAUUGUCCUUGAGCUUUAAUGGCAUACGAUAGUCGUACAACACAUACGAUGCACUCUUCCACUUCAUAUAUUCAGCUUGUAUUCUAUGAUUAAGGGCUCCAUCCAAUUCUCUGUUCUUUUGCAAGAUAGAUCCAAGAUAGUGAAAGCGUUAAUUCGCUCUUUGGUACUUUUUGAUCUCCAAUCCUCACGCCUAACUCAUUUGAACAUCCACACUCUAAACUCAUUUGAACCUCCAUUCCCACUAAACUUGCACUCCAUAUAUUUUGCCUUUGAUCUACUUAAGCGAAGAUCUUUAGAUUCUCACACUUCCCACCAAAGAUUAAACUUCGUAUUUACUUCCUCCUGCACAUAUGUAACCAAAUCUUCCUACCCCGUGACAUAUAAAUUGUGACAAAGGGAGAGGGAGAUUACAUUUUCCUAGUCAAAGAGUUCUCAAAGGAAAAAUGAAAAGAAAAGAAAAAUUAGAAUGUCUUGCUGUCUCUACUACACCACCAGCAACCUUAGGAUGGCGCUUCUUAUCUCCUCGUCCACGCUUUUGAGAAAUCGUCUUCCUGAUUGGAGUCUUUACAAAAAUGUGGUACCCUGUGGCAAAGAAGGUGGACGGCGAAUAAUAACCCUUGGAGGCGGGGGAGGAGGCAUGUGCUCCAGUAACUCUCUGUGGUAUACCUGUACAUUGCAAAUUUGCAAUCCAUAUGAACAUAUAAUAUGUAAAGCUUAUGCAUUCAAAAGAAGAGAAAAUAAAAAGAGACAGGACCUUAAAACAUAGUUCGGCAUAUUAUAUACUUAGUCACGUCAACAUAGCACCGUUACCACAAUAAUGCAUCCAAAUCUCCAAGAUUUCAAUACACAGAUGCAACCUUCUAGGGUACUAAACGGGAAGACCUAGCGGCUCCACUGAACCGCGCGACUCUACAACACCCUGACAAGCCCAAAAAUAUUCCAAAUAAACAAGCGAAACACGUUGAUUGAAAUGCAGUAAUAUAUUUUCAAACCCCAUAGGUAUUACUCAAAAAAAUUUAUACCAGAAGUACAAAAUCGUGCCUUUCACAAUCCAGAAAUAUAUUCAUGCUCCAAUCAACUUUUCCCAUUAUUUUAGCUCUCACUGUGGAAAAACUUAACUGAUCCCUGGAGGUAAAACGAUCAACUUCGUUGAACCAAUUGCAGCUAAAUAAAUUUGUGAUGGGGAUAUCAAUGGCGCUAUAAAACCGACAAAAAACACCACUUAUUGUCGGAUUUUUUGUAAAAAUCCGACAUUAAAUCGUACAAUGUCGCAUAAUGGAACCGACGCCAAUACUACUGUUACAAAAGGGUAUUGGCGUCACUUAUCUCCCUUUAACCCGCCACCAAGAACCAAAGUAAUAUAAAAUAAAAAAGAACAACAACGUUGCUUAAAAGCAACGUCAAGCAACAAUUAAAGAAUUAAAAUAUCAAACCUACUGUCGGUCCUAACCAACAUCAACAGUUAAAAUAAUAAAAAAAAUCUAAAUUAAUUAAUAAUAAUAAACAUUUUAUAUCACAAGUAACAUACAAAAACUCAUCUGCCAUUGCCAAGAUCUCAACUUUACAUAUCAAUUUCCAAAACCCAUUACAAAUCAUAAAAACCCCAUUACAUUCUGCUGAAAUUCGAAACCCUAAGAUUUGGGGAUUUCUUAAGCCCUCUCGCCCCUACAUACCACGUACGCCUCUGCCGCCUCCUGGAGCGUAGACACCGCGCUGCUCUGGAACCUCAGAUCGGUCUUAAAGUCCUGUGCGGUCUCCCGCGCCAGGCUCUGGAACGGCAGCUUGCGAAUCAAGAGCUCAGUGCUCUUCUGGUACUUCCUGAUCUCCCUUAGGGCAACAGUUCCCGGCCUGAAUCGAUAAGGCUUCUUCACUCCUCCGGUCGGGGGAGCAGAUUUCCGAGCAGCCUUAGCUGCCAGCUGCUUCCUUGGUGCCUUACCUCCGGUGGACUUGCGAGCAAUCUGCUAGGUACGAGCCAUUUGGGAAGAUGAAAGUGGAAGACUGAAGGGUUUGGGAAGUGUUUGUUUCUCGGGAAAAUUGGAGAGAUUUUGAUUUGGAUUGGAUGGAAAAUGGCUGAGGGUUUGAGUGGUAUUAAUUACGAUUUGGAGAGCAGAGGAAUCGCGGGAAGUUUGAAAUUUUGUGAUUUCGUGUGAACAUUUUGGAGGAGGGGUUUAAAAUUUUGUAAUUUCGGUUUAAUGAAAAUUUGCGUCGGUUAUAACCGACACCAUAUUCUGACACACUUUAUUAAAUACAUGCAGCGUCGGUUUAAAUGGAUUCAGUGUCAGUUAAAAACGACAGUACAUCUGACAUACUAACUGCGGGCUGACGGCCCCCUUCCCAAGUGACUGAUUGAAUUUCUCUUCCCAAGUGACUAUUUAAUAAAAAUUAAAAUUUAUGUCAGCUACAACUGACACUGGCUAUAAAAAUAUUUAAAAACUAUCAUUAGUGUCAGAAAAAAGCGACAUUAGUCUUCUUUUAACCAACGCUAACAUUAUGUUGGUUAAAAGCGACACCACUGUUAAAAAAUAUUAAAAUCUAUGUCGAUUAUAAGCGACAUUAACAUUUUAUGUCGGUUAUAAACGACAAUAAUUACGACACCUUGUAAACUAGGUGUCGGAAUGUCUUAAGCGCCACUAUGUUUUAUAAAAGCGACACCAACCACUGAUACAAUAAGGCCAUUUUGUAGUAGAUUACUGAUAGUUAAGCAAACACCAAGUUGCUGUAUGAGGCAGGGUAGUAAUUUCAAAUUCCCAACCAUGCUACUACAAGCGUGCACAUAGCAUUAGUCAGAACAGAAGUGUACCUCUCUAAGACUUGAAACGGAAUCCGGAUCCUCACCGGUGAGGAUUCCGGGGAUCCGUGAAUUAUAUCCGUUCAUCGUACAUCAUGCGGUUAUAAAUUAUUUUAAAUAUUUUUAUUUAAAAUUAAAUACAAACAGUACUUGACAAAAACUAACUGCACGAUAUACGAUAAACGAGCACGAUUUACGAAUUCCCAACACAUCACCAAAAGAAUCCGGAGAGGAUCCUGUUGGUGAAACGGAUCCACCACAAGCCAAAGCUUUCCAUCAAUCCAUAUAGAGUAUCUAACAUUGGGGAAAAUCUAUGCAAUAGAAGCUUCGGAAUCUGCCACAAAUACAUUAACAUCUAAAAAUUUCCCCAAUGCCUUUUAAUCCGGAUAUUUGGAGCAAACUCUGGACAGCGCCCCACUAUUUCUAUUAAGACUUAAGAAAAAUGCUAAUACUAUGUUUGGAUGAGACAAAUAAACUUAGAAUUUUGACAAAAGUCAGUUUAUAAAUUUACAUGCACCAAUUUCCUUGUUUGAAUUCAUAAACAUGGAAAUUUUGAAUUUAUGGGUGGAAAAAAACUUUGAAUUUGGAACCUCUAAAUUUCUUGUGAAUAGGUAUCAUUUCUAAAUUUCUAAGAGUAAGAGUUUAAAAAUAACAAAUUUUGUAUUCAAAUUCUAUUAUUCUUUUAGGUUAACUAAAUAAGAAAAUUCACAAAUUCUAAAAAAUAAAAUUUCGUCACUUUAACUUUCGUCCUUUUAAAAUUCCUGCAAGCUUACAUUUCAACGUCAAUUUUCGAAUCAACAUUAUAAAAUAUUGUGCAAAAAAAAUAAGAUGGAGUCCAUAGAGAGCCCCACUUUUAAAAGAGUUUCCUUAAUAUUUUUAUUCUAUUAAAUUAAAUUAAAAGCACCACCUGAUAAAAUAGAUGACAUUGGCAUUGUUUAGCAACUCAAACUGUUCUGACUAUUUCAAUCGAAUAGAAUAAAUAGUCACCGGAUAAUACUGACUAAAUUAGUCGGGCGUUUCGUGCAGUAUGGGACUAAUGACUGUAUUAUUUUUAGGAUUUGGAUCCUCUCCUGAGCAAGGGAGACAGAUCGUCCUGACCCAAACACACGAGCCGUUGAAUCACGGAUCCUCCUGACCCAAACACACGAGCCUUUGGAUUUUGAUCCAACGGUUACAAUAGGGGGCCCUUCUAAAAGUUAUAAUAAUUGUAACCAUUGAUUCAAAAUCUAAUGAUCUGUGUAUUUGACUCAGGAGGCUCCAUCUCCUUUGCUCAUGAGAGUAUCCAAAUCCUUAUUUUUACUAUGUUUGGCAACCAAAUAAAAAAAAAAGAAAAAAAAAAUUGACAGGGAGCAAAUCCUAUCUUCACGAUAGGAAGCAAAUGAAAAGCCCCCAAAUUAUAGCAAAACCUAAUUUGAAAAAAAAAAAAAAAAAAAAACUACUGAAAAUGGCUUGAAAAUUUUGAGUUUUAACGAUGACAAAAUAAAGGAUAAAAUGAAUAGUACCAUAAUUGACUUUUUAGUGUAAAAAUAUGAUUUUUCGUUAAAGUAAACAGUACCGAGAGUUUUUCGUUAAAGUUUCCUUGAAAAAAAGGGUAAAUUAAGGAUUUUUCUUUGGCAGCUUUCGUCCCUCAGUGGUCUGCAGUGGUUCAAAGCAAUCGGAUCUUUUGCGAUGUGGGGGCGAUGCGAUGGAUUUUGUGCUUUCUAGGUUUGGGCUCGUGCAGUGGUUCAAGGCGGCAACAAUUCGCAACCACGGGAUCUCGUUUCAAGAUACAACAACAAUGGCAGACUCGAGUGCAAGAUGGUGGUGUGAGCAGUUACAGAGAAGCAGUGGGUCAUGGACAGUGACGAUACGAGUUCCCAGAACGAGUUGAUUCAGACGACGAAGAUGACUCUAGACGGCACAGCUCUCCGAUUCUAGUUCUAUCCCCCACCAUGGAUGUUUGAAUAGAGACGUCAUGGCCUGGGUUUAAUUUGCCACUUCUGAUUUUCUGUUUGUAUAUGGUUGAUGUUGAUCAGAGGUGGGGAGGGAGAGAGAAGGAAUAUUUGUAUGAGCAUUUCGCGAUGCGAGCAGAGAGGUUGAGAGUGCGAUUGUGAUUUGCCUGACUAAUUAUACGAAGGUUCUGGGAAGGAUAAAUUAGAGGGUGUGAGGGGUAUUAAAAUGGUGGGACCGGUUUAAUUUAUCCGGUGCUUAAUUAGUACAGAUGAGCACCAAACAACUUCUAUUGUUUUAUAUGGCGUCCCAAACGAGGCUAUUGACUUUUCCUAGCAUCCAUACACAGCAAAAGGUAACACCAAAACCAAUGUUAGGAGUGCCAAUUUAACCAAGACAGGCCAAACUCCAGUUGCAAAGCCCAACGUCUACAGGAUAAAGGUUCAACAACAACUUACCAAGCAGCACUUUGAACAGAACCUGGACCAGAAGUUGAAUGUGAGCUAGAUGUUGUAGCCAGAUCGGUCAAAACUUAUGGUACAUACGACGAUGCAAACUUCUUCAACUUUCGGUUAGGUGGUAAAAGGGCCAGGCCAGUUUGGUGUAGGUAUUAUGCUCAAAUUAGAGUAUUAUACCAUUCUGUGUAUGUAUGAUUUUAUAUCACUUUCCUCAUACAUGCAUGUCUAUGCUUGUUUCUUUGCAAUGGUUCUAUUAAUUCCCAUGAAUCAUAUAAACUAAUCUUAAUAUAAGCAAUGCUAGCUACCCUCCUAUCUGCAUUUCCUUACUAUUGGUAUCAUGGGAUGGGACUAAUAAACAUGGCACGGCGUUCUUUUAUAUUUAAUGUAGAGUAGGUGUUAUUCACAUACUUUUUUUUUUUAACAAACGAUAUUAUCUACAUUAAGGAGGUGAGACACUUAUGUAGUUUCUUUUCUUUUUUUAACAAAUGAUAUUAUCUACACUAAGGAGGUGAGAGAGUGAGUUAAGCCUCACAAUGGUCUAGCCAUAAUAAUCUAGUUCAAAUUCGUCUUUUACAAGAAUCGAACCUAAGAUCUCUCACUUACAAGUGAAAAUGAUUACCACUAAAACGUAAUACUAAGUGGCUAAUAUUGCUUAUGUAGUUAUAUUGAAAGAAAAAAAGUUUUUAACUAAUUGCGAAUUGAACUAGUUGGUCAAGAUUUUAUGCUCUUCCACUUGCGCACAAGUUUAAACACGAAAAAAGAUCCUCUCCGAAUCCACUUUGUGGAGAUCCUAAAGAUCCCCAUAUCCUAGUCGUUCAUCGUACAUUGUGCAGCCAGUUUUCGUCAAAUACUAUUUGUGUUUAAUUUUAAAUAACAAAGUUAAGUUAAAUGAUUUCUUACCGUACGAUACAAGAUGAACGGCUAAUAUGUAAGGAUCCUUAGGAUCCACAGUGAAUCUAAAUGGGAUCCAAUUGCUUUAAACACCCGUUUGAUUAUUAAAAAGUUGAUUAUUUUUAAAGUCAUUUCAAACUCACUUUCAACUUUACCGUGAAAUUGACUUAUAAAGUUCCCAUUAGACGAAUCCACCCUUGUUGGUAUUAGUCACUACCAUCAGCUUGGCGAAUAAUCCUUGAUAACGAUUUAAUCAAAAUCAUAGAACAUUUGAACAAUCUAAAAUAUGACAAUUAUUUUUUCUUGUUUUGCAUGAUUCAAUUUAUGACUUUUAUUGUUUCAUUCCACAAGCUUAUUAAAAAUGUGAGUAAUAGUUUUUUUUUUUUUUUUUUGAGUAAAAAGUGUGAUUGUUGAAAUUUUACAAGAAUUUUUGUGUGUAAGGUAAGAGAAAAAUAUGAGUCUUUGGAAAGUGGUCAUAUCAUUUGAUGAGUCACAUAAGCAAAAAAAUUAAUAAGAAAUAGUUGUGAGCCCUAACACGUUAACAUACCGGAGUUUUGUCAGUUAGAUCAUGAUGUAUGAAUUUCAAAAAACUUAUUGUAUGACAAAAUUUUCAUGAAAAUAGGUUAUAUGACCUUUUUCUUCUUGCAUAUAUUUGCAAAACCAAUUCAAAACCAUGAGCAACAAUUGUUGAAAUAAUAAGGUUUUAAGUGUAAUAAAAUCACAUAGGAAUUUUUUUUUUUUUUACAAACGAUAUUAUAUAUACUAAGAAAGAGGAGGAGAUGACCUUCGCAUCACAAUGGGCUAGCAAUAAUGUAGUCCAAAAUCGCAUUUGACAAGAAUCAAACUUAAUACCUCUCACUUACAAGUGAAGAAGAAUACCACUAGACAAAAUACUAAAUUGCCACAUAGAUAAAUUUUAACCAAUCAUAAUAAUUUAAUGUAAAUCUACAAGCAUAGACAGUGCUAAACAAAUAUGAAUACUAGAUGAACUUGAGUUGGAGUUAAGGCAAGUGUUCGACACUAACUUGAAAAAGAAUUACGUAUUACGGUUUUUAUAGUUAUCCGCGCUAUAAUCUCUUACAAGGUACAACAACUCUCUUUGCGGGAAAAGCAUUGCAGUUCACAAAAACCGAAUUGUGUAUAAACUCACUCACACAACAGAAGAAUAAUUAUCCUAGAACUCUCUUUAUUUUGGAACUAUGUAUGUGUACGCAAAAAGCGAGAUCAAUUCACUUUGACUACUCUAUUUAGUAGAAGCAAGGUAUAAUCCGAGUUUGUUUCACUUAUGAGAGCCGGAGUUGAAUCCACUCUGAAUUUUAGUGUCUGGAGUUUAAAGAUAAAAAAAAUUGAGGUUUUGAUUUGUGUAGAACAGAAAUCAAAAUUGUUGAUUUGUGGUAGAUGAGCCAACAUAAUAAAUGAAUGUGAAUAGUUGAAUUCAAUUUAUGUGAUCUAAAUUUUUAAUCUCUUAGCUACAGACACUAAAGUUCAAAGGGGAUCCAAUUUCGUGAAGACUCAUCAAAAUAGGGAGGCCAAGAGAGUGGGCCCACAAGCUAAAAGCCUAAAACUUGCCGACAGGAUCCUCUUAAGAUCUUUUGGUAAGGAUCUGAGGAUCUGUAAAUUGUGUCCGUUUAUCGUAUAUCGUGCGAUCAGUUUUUGUCUAGUACUAUUUAUUUUUAAUUUUAAAUAAUUUCUUAUCGUACAAUGUACGAUAAACAGAUAUAAUUUACGGAUCUCCAUAAUUUUUACAAAGAGAAUCUAACGAUGAUCCGGAUUCUAAAACUUGAGGUGGGUCGGUCCCAGGGGCUCGUUUAUUUGUCCGAGUGGGAGAAGACAGCCAUAAAUUUCAUCAAAGCAUGAUUGCGUGGGUAACUGUUGGUAAAUUAAAUAAGACACAGACUGCUCUAGUUAGGUCAUUCAUUGUUUUCAUAAUCUAUAUGCACCAUUGGGUGGACCGACCCAUGAUUAAUAGCGGUCACAUUAUUAACUUAUUUAUUGUUUGUUUACUCGCACUAACUUUUCCACGUCUCGUAUUGUAUGGAACCAGAUUCUCUCUUGAGCAUAGGAUGAGGAUUCUUCUGAUCGGAUCAUCUCGAUUAUUGAAAUUUGAUCCAACGAUUACAAUAAUUAUAACUUUUAAAAUAUCCCCUGUUUAUAGCCGUUAGAUUAAAUUUCAAUGGUCCAGAUGACCCAGUCAGAGGAUCCCCACCCUAUGCUCAAGAGGGGAUCCGAUUUCGUAUUGUAUGGACCUGAUUAGAGAAAUGCUAAGAUCAUUUAUAAAAGAUAUGUCAAAAAUGCCACAUAGACAUAAAACUCGUUUGAAUGUGUUUUUAAAAUGACUAAAAGUGUUUUUGGUGAAAAUGUUUUUAGAACAAAUCUUUAGUAAAAACACUUAAAGUGCUUCCUGGAAGAAGCACAUAACUGGUGCUUCUUGCAGAAAGCACUUUAAGUGCUUUUGGAACCUAAAACAAUUUUCUCUAAAAACACUUUCAGUCAUUUUACAAGCACAUCCAAACGAGCUCAUAUAAUGAUAACAAAUUAUGUACUAUUUACUCCAACCAAGAUGUCAAUGAUGACAUGGCUAAGAUGACAUGGACGAUGUUAAAUUUGAAGCUGCCUUCAAAUUUUAUUUUUGUUAUUUCUAAAGGCAUUCCAAUUGUCUUACCUUAAAUGUUAGUACAUUUAAGUAUUAUUUUAUUAUUUUUAAACCAAUAACAACCCAACUUUAAUUAUUUUUGUUUAAAAAAACAUAAAUAAAAAAAAUAAACUUUUGGCAUACCAAGUGGAAAGAAAAUAUUGGCAAUAUGUUAAAUUACGAAGUCAGUCAUCAAAUUUAUAUUUGAUGUUUUAAAUUUGACAUCUUCUUUGGAGAUGCUCUAAAGAGGGUCUUUUAAAAGUGGUACUCUCUAUGAAUUUUUUGUCGUCUUAUGUUUUUGACACAAUGUUUUUAUAAUGUUGACACGAAAAUUGUUGUUAAAUUAUGAGGUGCCAAAGAGUUCAUAAAGAGUCAUACUUUAAAAGAGUUUCACUAGCAUUUCUCAUCCAAUUAUCAUUAACCCCCAAACAUUUAGACAUAGAAGGUGAUGAUUUGUUAUUGUAAUUAUUUCAUAUCAGUAGCAUUGCAACAUGUAUAAUCAUAAGUCUAAACGCCAUAUUAUAGGAUAUCAACAUCUUGAAGAAGAGGUUCAGUUAUUUUUCGAAGGUAACAUGGUGGCUCAUGAAUUGGUUAAACAUGGACUCUACAAUGGAGGUUUUAAUAUAUGGAUGGAGGGGGAACCACUUUGGCUAUCCCCCUUCCUUUAGUUUGAUAAUGACAACUUAUUGUAAGUGGUGAGCAAGUUGGUGAAGCAUUACUUUUCCCUCUUCUUUGUAGGAUUUUAAUGAGGCUUCCCUUGCUCCCCCAAAAUUCUUGUACUCUGUUUGUUUAACAGUACUGGAAAUAUCAGUUAUGAUAAAAAUAAAAAAAAUAAAAAGGCCAUAACGUGGAAUUGUUGUACGUGUCGGUAACAAAAUGCUACAUGAAUAUGUAACAUUACAAAUUCCCCAUAGGAUGAUAUAUUCACAUUAUCAGAUUUAGGGUUUGUAUGUAUGACUGCAACAUAAUCGUAUAGUUUGAAUGAAUUUGUAAUGUAUUCACAUUUUGGGUUUAAGGUUUGUAUAUCAAUGAUUGCAAUAUACAUAACUAUAAUUCAACUGAAUUUGUUACACUACAUUAACAUGUCAUCUUUUUCUCGUCACGAGAUGUUAUUGUCUCACACAAAUAUUCAUCGUAAUUAAUGGACCCUUGAAUUGAUGAAAAAAUAUUAGCCUUGUGCAACCCCCGGUUCAACAUAACAUAUGCAUCAUGCCAUUGCCAAAGUUUGUCUCAACACCUAGUCUAAAACCAUCAACAAGAAAACCUCGCUGUUGAAAAUGAAUCUUACAUUGAUGAGAGGAUGAAUCUUGCAUAUGCUUAUAAGCAAGUUGAAUUACUCUCCGUAUUGCCAAUUGGUUUUAUGGUGGAAAUCCAACAUCUUUACUCACUCAAACAACACUACUUAGUGCUACAAUUUAUGGAACCAAAAAACAUUGCCAAGCUUACAAUGCUCCUACAAACUAGGUACUUUUCCUAAGAAAUCUUACCUCUUAUGUGUUAAGUGACAUCAGAUGGUAAUGUUCUAGGUUAGUUUUCUUUAGCUAUUAUUGAAGAGUUCUAUAAAAGUUGUUAUUUUUUAGAAGAGUUUUAAAUACAUGUUACUUUAGCCGUUUGAUAAAAGAGAACUUUAACGAAAAGCUCUCAGUAUUGUUCACUUUAACGAAAAACCAUAUUUUUACAUUAAAAAGUCAAUUAUGGUACUAUUCACUUUACCCUUUAUUUUGUCCUUAUCGUUAAAACUCAAAGUUUUCAAGCAUUUUUCAUUAAUUUUCCUUUGAUAAAAACUUACUUAAAACUACAUGGGUAAAUGUCAAAAUGAUCUAGGCCGUCGAAAUUUGAUCAAACAGCUACAAAUAGGGGCCCUCUAAAGUAUAAUAAUUGUUGCCGUUGAAUCAAAUUUGAACGGCCAUGAUCAGUAGAUCCGUGGGCUCAGAUCCUUUGGAUCCAGAGAGGAUCCAAAUCCUUAUUAACCAGAUCCAAAUCCUUAUUAACCAAAUACAAUGCACAACAUCAUUUUCGUUUUAUAUUUAGAAAAUUGUUGAUAUUAUGCUAAAAUCCAACAAGUAUUACUCAAAAAUAGACUUGAAAAAAAAUUGUUACUUGUUGUAAAACUAACCAUUUGGGAGAAGGUAGAGGAAGGGCCGGCUAGAGAAGAAAGAAGAUAGAGAAGAACUUGAGGAAUUAUGUGUCUAAUUACUCAUGUUUAGUGUCUUUAUUUAUACUAAUCAUGAUGAGUUUGUUGCUUACAAGUAAUACAAGUUGUACAUGGAAAUGAUCUUCUAGAUCCUAUUGAUUUCCUAUUUCUAGCUACGCAAUCACACUAGUUUUUAAUCGGAUUCGUUCAAUUUCUCAAUCUUCAAUUGAAGAUCAUCUUUAGAAAAAUCUUGGAGAUUGUUCGGUCUUUUAAAUGUAUCAAAUAAAUAAACUAUCAUCAUAAAUAUGUUAUUUAGUACUGAUAUUGUAGAUUUAUUUCAUACAUUUGGUGCAUAAAUAAUUUCUGAUUCUAAUGAUUUUUCCUAGAGGUGAAUAAGAAAUUGAGGGAAUUCCAUUGUUAUAUUUAUACGACAAAGACAUGUUAUUCCCGGUAUAUGAGAUAUGUGCAUUCUUCCAUGAAGGAUACAAGUAUUUUCCUUACUAUAACGUAGUAAAAUUCAUAAAAGGCUUUUUAGUCAAAAUGGUACAUGAGAUUAACAUAACUUCUUGCUUUGGUUCAUAAGAUUUGAAAUCGAGCGGUCAUUGAGUUUGUUCACCAUCAACCAUUUUGGUUAUUCGAUGAAAAAUUUCUGUUAAAGAAGGACUAAAAUAACAAAAUUACUCUCAAUAUAAUAAAUAAUGGGUCAAAAUGAUUUGACAAACUUGAAGGUAUUUUUGGAAAAUGAUUUGGACCUUCAUGUUUUUUUUUCUUCAUAAAUAGUUGUUUAUUUUGUCAUUUGGGUCGAACCAAAUAAACAACAAUAAACGACAGUUUGACGAAGGCCGCUGAGAAAGCGGUGGAAAAGCCAACGACUUGAAUCAUUGAAUCGGCAUAAACAUUUAACAGCUCAACCCUAAACUUUUUUACGGACUACGCAGACCAAGUAUAUUUGUAAUAGUUUCACUCUCUUUGCAAGCACGUGAGAUGCACUCACGUCUUGGCAAAAGUGCUUUUCUUCCCUCGUUCAACCCUCUUUUUUUAUGUUUAUGUUUUUUUUAAUUAUUCCCUAAUUUAUGUUAGAAAAAUACCAAGAAUACUUUAUGAACCACAUUGUUGUUAGUCCAUUGUAAGACUAAGCUCAUCCCCUCCCUUUAGUAUAGAUAAUACCGUUUGUUAAAAAAAAAAAAAAGGUGACGAAGAAUCCCACUUUGAGAGUCUACUUAGCAUUUCUCUUUAUGUUAACAUGGUCUAAAAUUAGACGUGGUUUCAUUACACUUAAAAUGUUAAUAAAACUUUUUAUUAACAAGAGCAAUAUAAUUUACCCAAAAUUAAUUUAAAUUAUGGGGAGAGGGAAAUGGAGGAAAGCUUGAAAUCAAUGCGUAGUGGGAUGAAGAAAAGUGUUCUAUCCACAAUUAUUAUUCAGUAUUCACCACCUUCCAACAAAUUAUUGUUCUAUCCACAAAUAUUAUCCACGACUUUUUAACAAAAUACAUUAAUUCUUUCUAUGUAAAUGAAAUCACAUAUGAACUAGAAGUUAUAAAUUCAAUUCCUAAGCCACUUAGUAUUAUAGGUGAGUGAUAUUCGAUAUCAAUUUAUCUUUUUACUUUUUAGUGUAAAUAUAUCGUUGUAUACAAAAAAACUCAAUUCCAUAAAAAAAUGCAAGGAUUCCAAAUUAUUUUCAUCACCGAAAGUAAUAUUAAAAAUGUCACAAAUUCUCAUCUUCUCCUUUCUGUUAAUAAAAUAAUCAUGUAGUAAAAAAUUUUGUAAGCAAAAAGAAAAACCGAAUAUGAUAGAAACUAUAAUAUUACAAAUGGAGAAGGCGAUUAAUGCCAAUUUGGCCAAAGAUGGAAAUGAAUUAUUUCAAUAUUGUGACAGGUAAAACAUUGAAGAAAACGACGCAUGAAUUGAGAUAGAAAAUUUUUGAAAUUGUCUAGAAAGAGAAAAUUUCUAGACAUUUAGGAUUUAGUGAUAUUUUCUCUCGUUUUUUGGCAAAACAUAUCUCUAAUUUGAAUCAUCCAUCCCUUAUAGAAAAUAAAAAAAUUUCUAAAAUGAAUUGUUAUUGGCAUUCUAAAAAUCUCAUUUGGCACUCCAAACAUUUUAUAAUUAGAAAGAAAAAUACACUUAUAAGAAGUGUAGAUUGAGAUUUUUGAAGUGUUAAUAAUAGUUCCCUUUCUAAAAAUGGUAAGAUUAAUUAGUUUAAGUUGAUUAAGGUAGAGACGGCGCGUGGGAAAGAUGGUGAAAGAUAAGAAUGUCUUUUACGCCUUAGGCCUGUACAAACUACAGAGUCGGUCUUUUCUCUUGCACUGAAAGCUGCUGUUACUGCUGCGGGACACUCCCCCUUCUCACUCUACCAAUUUUUUCUUUUUCUUUUUACUCAAUUAUUUAUUUAUUUAUAUUAUUCGAGAGAUUUGAUGUUAAUUUUUGUUUAAUUUUUGUAUUCUCUUAAACUCUGCAACUCUACGUGUCUCUCUCCAGCCCCUGGGAGCCAUUGAUCCAUGUCCUUCCUUCUCCAAAUGCCCUGAAUAAUUUUCUAGGGUUUCCAGUAAAGGAGGCAUUUCCAAUAGGAGGGUGCUUUGUCUUGAAGGUGCUCAACAUUCUGCAGGUUGUGCAAAAAGGUUUGGACUUCUUGGAAAUUGGGGUUUUGUUUGUUGUGAAUUUGUGGGUAUUUUUAUUAGCAUUGAGAGUUUGCAUUCUAUGUGGAAGAACUGGCAUUUUGAAGGUUUUAUGUGCUGAAUUUAACUUACUAUGGUGAAAGAUUGAAGAUUUUCAAGAUUCUAGGGUUUGGGUUUCUGAAAUUGUGGGUUUUGCUUCUUGCAAAAGUGUGACUUUGGUGGGUUUGUGAAGGGGGGUGGAUUCAUGCAUUUCGUGCUUGUUGGAUCAUAUAUAUUGGAUGAGUUGAAUUCUGGGUUUUGGUUAGGAUUGUGUGGUCAAAAUGCAAGAUUUCUAAGGGUGAGAACAGUGGUUCUAUAGGAGGGCAUUGUUGGGGGUGGUUUUGGUGCAUAAUGGGUUGCAUUUAUUGUAAGCCCUCUGCAAUUGAGGAUAGCAAGGAGAGCCCCAGAGAGAGAUUGUCCAACAAGGGGGCAUCAGACUCGCGGACGACGAGGGUUGCUUCCUCAAGGAGGGAGGAAACUUAUCGGCCGAAAGAUCGAUAUGAUGGCAAUGGUGGGAGAGCAAUGUUGACUGAUACGCAAGUGAAUGGGCCUGUUCGAUCGCAAGGUGAGAAUUUUGAAAGGAAAAGGGAAAAGAUGGAGUAUGUUGUUGCUCAACAUCCUGGGAUUGGUAUCAUUCCAAAAGCUGCAGAAGGGGAGCAGGUUGCAGCAGGGUGGCCCUCCUGGCUAGCUGCAGUGGCUGGAGAGGCCAUCAAAGGAUGGGUACCCCGUCGUGCAGAUUCAUUUGAGAAGCUAGAUAAAGUAUGCUUCUUUUCUUGUUUAGUUCUCAAGUAGCUUUAUGGUGCAAGAAAAAUCUGCAUUAUUGAGUUUGAAUUUGGUAUUUUCUAUUUCAUUAUUGAGAUUGAAUUUGGUAUUUUCUAUUAUUGAGAUUGAAUUUGGUAUUUUCUAUUUCAUUGAAAUCUGUUUCCUUGUGGUUCAUAACUAAUUGAGGAACAAGGUUUACUAAGUAGCCAAUUUAAAGUUGGGGUUGAGGGCAGUAGUAUUAUUAUUACUUAUUAGUAUUGACAAGUUUAAGAGGUCGCACUUGGUGCGAUGGCAAAUGCCUUCGCCCAUGAGCGGUAGGUCUCGGGUUCGAGACUUGGGAGCAGCCUCUCCAUAAAUGGGGGUAAGGCUAGCCGACAUUCACCUCUCCCAGACCCUGCGUAAAGCGGGAGCCUUGUGCACUGGGUACGACCUUUAUUAGUAUUGACAAGUUUAAGAAUGUUGCGUCAAGGUAUACUUAUGAAUAGGCACAUGGAAUUCAUAUGGUGCAAAAUUCACUCUCAGUUCUCCUAUGUCUUUGGUAAUUGUAAAACUUUUAAAAGUAAAAGGCAAUGGAAAACUUGGAGCUAAGGGCUAGUGUACACAGAAGCGUAAAGCAUUGUUUAUUAAAAAUCAUUUGACAUGGGUGACUUGUUCAAGCAUAACAGUUUUAAGGUAGUAGUUGGUUCUGCAAGUUAUGAAUGGGGAAUUAUCUGCACUUGUAGGAUUUUGUUAAUUUUACUUAGGUAGGUUGGUUUUACAGUUUUAUGUUUUGGGUACUCUAUUGGAUGCUAUUUGGUUGCUAUGCUUAUAUAUGUAUCUGAUUUUCACAAUAACAUUGAGAAAAGAAAAAGGUUUAUGAUAUAUAAUAAAUACUAAAUCGCUCUAUUCGGUUCUUUCCACUGUGAUAUGAUACCUCUAUUUUUGGUUAUUUUCCUUGGUGCUAUCUCUUUACACUUCCAUAUUAGCUGGCUUUGGUUGUGUCCUAAUAUUUAUAUUUUGCAGAUUGGUCAGGGAACUUACAGUAAUGUUUAUCGGGCCCGUGAUCUUGAUCAAAAGAAAAUUGUUGCUUUGAAGAAAGUGAGGUUUGAUAACCUGGAGCCUGAGAGUGUUCGCUUUAUGGCAAGGGAAAUUCACAUUUUACGAAGGCUUGAUCAUCCAAAUGUUAUAAAACUAGAAGGUCUAGUUACUUCAAGGAUGUCUUGCAGCUUGUACCUUGUGUUUGAGUACAUGGAGCAUGAUUUGGCAGGGCUUGCUUCACACCCUGGUCUGAAGUUUACAGAAGCACAGGUACUUGGUCGUCUUCUUUCCUUCUUAUACUAAAAUAACAAGUUACUGUAGGUUUUUUGUCAGUUCUUGCUUCCUGUAUCUGCAUGAUGUUUGUGUUAUGAACUUUCUCUCAUCAGCAUCCAUUGAUGCUACUGGUGUAUUUUGUUUACUUUGACACUUGUGUAGUUGUGUGAAUGCUAUCCUGCAGUUUCAUUUCACUUAUGUAUAUAGGCUACACAACUUAUGUUAUGCUAGUAUCAAGACUGUUCAGUUGGAUGGAUGAUUGAGGUUCAAUUGAUUUAUUGGCAGGUUAAAUGUUACAUGCAGCAACUGUUAUGUGGACUUGAUCAUUGUCACAGUCGUGGUGUUCUGCAUCGUGAUAUUAAAGGUUCCAACCUUUUAAUUGACAACAAUGGCAUGCUGAAAAUCGCAGACUUUGGUCUGGCAAGUUUUUUUGAUCCUUGUCAAAAUCAACCUUUGACAAGUCGUGUUGUAACUCUAUGGUAUCGUCCACCUGAGCUUUUGCUUGGUGCUACUUACUAUGGGACAGCUGUGGAUUUGUGGAGUACAGGUUGCAUAGUUGCUGAACUGUAUUAUGGAAAGCCUAUUAUGCCUGGAAGAACUGAGGUAUUUAGAGUGUUUUUUUUUUUUUUUUUUUUUUUUUUAGUUGAUGCUCUUCACUGAUUUUUAUCUUCCAACUAUUUGGUAGUACAAAUGCGCACACGCAUGUUUCUGCAUUUAAAUUGAAUACUUUCUAGUUGGUGGAAGAAUAAGAAAUCAGCUAAGAACCUUUCUUAUCUAGUGGAAACCACCAUAAUGAAUCAUCUUCAUAAAUGUGUGCUGUAAACUUGCUUCCAUCCUUAUUCCUGAUCUGGUUUGUUGUGAUUUUACAACAUAAACCUAGUGGUGGCAUCUUGCAUGUCUGUCUUGUGGCUUUCUGAAUUGUUGUUCCUGUUAGGUUCAUUAUACACUUCGAAGUAGUUUGAGUGUAAAAUUUCAAAUUAUUCUUCCCCUUUCUUAGAAAUGGUUUGUUAGAUGUGAGAUUGCUCAUUAGAGGUGGCUUUGCAAGUAACCUCGUUGGGCCAUGCCACCAUGAAAGAUUUGUGGUUUUAGCUGGUAGGUUAGGGAUAGUUUAUGUACUGUUUCUGUUUGCAUUCCAGUUGCUCAAUUUCUCUGUGUCCUUGUAGUCAUGCCAACUUUGUAAUUAUUAGGAUAUGUCCCCUCUCCGUUUUUUACAUUCAGAAUCUCAUAUGCUUCUCUCAGAUGUAAGUGUUGUGCAACUAAAUAACCGGAUUUUGUGGAUUUUUACCUUGUAGGUGGAGCAGUUGCAUAAGAUUUUCAAGCUUUGUGGCUCACCUUCUGAAGAGUAUUGGAGAAAAUCAAAGUUGCCUCAUGCAACCAUAUUUAAACCCCAACAACCUUAUAGACGUUGUGUGGCAGAAACUUUUAAGGAUUUCCCUGCACCAGCUUUAGCACUUAUGGAGACCCUUCUUUCUAUAGAUCCUGCAGAUCGUGGAUCUGCAGCUUCUGCUCUCAAGAGCGAGGUUUGGAUCUUAAUUUAAUUCCAAUUUAAUGUUUUCUAAACAGGCAUUAUUUUUUCUGCAGUCUUUCUUUUAACUCGAUAUCUUCUUUGACACCAUUCUCUAUGUGUGCCUCACUACUUGUGCAUGCUUACAUCUGCGGUAGAGCUGUAGAUAUGUUGUGCUUUCCGUCUUUUGCCUGUGGUAUUUUUGAAAGUACAACUUUACUAUGUUCAAGUCCACUUUUCAUUGAGUUCACUUAUUUAACGUCUUCUCUGCUUUUAUGCCAUGUAAUGGUAGCUCUGGAGAUCAUGUUAAGCAAACCACCAGAUUGCAGCAAUUUUUUUUGGUUUUUCCUAUUCUGGACUGCGCUUUUAAAGGCUACAAUGUGUAUUUUAAUUGGCAGGAACAUUUGAUAACUCUCUUCUGCAUUAAUAACUAUUUAGAUAUUAGAAUCAUCCUAUUCUCUUUACGAGUUAUUUUACCAUAACUUUGAUUGUGUUUCUCAUGUGUUAUCUUUUUGUUUCCUUAUUUUUCACAGUUCUUUACAACAAAACCUCUUCCUUGUGAUCCAUCAAGUUUGCCAAAGUAUCCUCCAAGCAAAGAGUUUGAUGCUAAAGUACGGGAUGAGGAAGCUAGAAGGUGAAUGUUGUUACAUAAAUUAGUAACUGACACUUAACUACAAGUAGAAUUUUACCGUUUCUCAAUUUAUAGUUGCAAGGCACUUGCACAGUUGCACCACUAGCGUGUGUUUAUAUAUAUUAUAACUAGAUUCUACACACAUUUUAAGGUACUUACAUUCGUGGCAUGAGUGGUUCAGUCCCAAGAAUAACAACAACAAAGCCUUAUCCCUCUAAGUGGGGUCGGUUGUAUGAAUCCUAGAAUGCCAUUGUGCUCGGAUUUGCUCCAAGUCUUCCGUUGGCCCCCCAAAAAAAAAAAAAAAUGAAAAAGCCUAUGAUACAAGCACUGAGAGGUAAUUGAGCAAGUCGGACAGACUUGAUGCAUGAUACCUAUGGGUGAAGUUGUUCUUUUGUGAUUUUACCAAAGCUUCCAUGUAGGGGUUCUUGGGUUCUUAACAUCAAAUAAUGGGAAACUAUCUAAACGUAAUGGAAUGAGUAGGCCUUGGUAUUUAAUAACUGAUCUCAUAAGAGUCUGGACACUGGAGUUUCCCUAAAGCACCCUAGUUAGUACAAUUUUUCGUUGGUUGGGGCUGUGUAUGGUUGUGAUUUAGUCUCAUUUAUGAAGUGCAUUAGUGUAAAACCAUUUAUUAUUUCUGAGUACAUGCUUACACACUGAUGGUUUUUGGUUGAAUUCUGUCUACUGAUUUCUCAAGAUUUAAUUUGAGUAUUGUGAACCUGAUAUCAAGUUUGGUCCUAUAUGUAUAUUUUUUUCCUCUUCUAUUUUUAACAUUGUUAAUGUGGGUGGUGUAUAUAGUAACAAUCUUUUUCCACACAUUGGUAGACAAGGAGCAGCAGGGAAGGGCCAAAGGUUUGACCACGAAAGGAGAGGAACAAGAGAGUCUCGAGCCAUACCAGCACCUGAUGCCAAUGCUGAAUUAGUCAUGUCAAUGAAGGUAACCUGAUGUUAUUUUAACUAAAAACACUCACUUGGCUCCAUCAUUGAUUUAUGCUCUAACCUUUUAUAUAUGAUGAUAUUUAUGUGUUGCCUUUCUUUUCUGAUUUUUACAUGAACUUGCAGUAUUUAAUUGACAUAUUCAAUGCACUCUUAUUGCAUAGAAUCUGCCAGAAAAUAUCUUAUAUAUUUUCUCUUAUUGCAUCAAUGUUAUCCGGUGCAUGUGAGUUGGAUGCGAUCAUACCAACUCACAUGCACCGGAUCCAAUCAGAACUCCGAAGUUAAGCGAGUUUGGGCGAGAGUAGUACUAGGAUGGGUGACCUUCUGGGAAGUCCUCGUGUUGCAUCCCUCCCCACCUCUUUUAGAGGUCGCACUUGGUGCGAUGGCAAGUGCCUUCGCCCAUGAGCGGUAGGUCUCGGGUUCGAGACUUGGGAGUAGCCUCUCCAUAAAUGGGGGUAAGGUUAGCAGACAUUCACCUCUCCCAGACCCUGCGUAAAGCGGGAACCUUGUGCACUGGGUACGACCUUUUAUUUCUUCUUUAAAAAUCAUGUCUUUUUUUCAAGUUUUCUACUAUGAAAAGGGGCUUUUAUGAUCAACCCAAAUUUUCCCUUGAGUUAUAUAUAGUUAUAUACCCGUGCUUAACUUGUGAUUUCUACCAAUGUGAUUAACUCCGCAUAACAUUGAUGGUCUUGUUAAUUACCGACUUGCUUUUCUUAAACUACGAAAUAAUGUAUUUUUCAGCUGUGAAAUAAUUUCUUUCACUUAUAAUCUUGCGUAAUCCAAAUUGCAUGUUAUUAUUCAAUGCAAGAAAUUGUUGGACUCAAAUUUCUCUUGGAGACCCUUUGUUGUAAAUUAUUCAGUAUUGUUUAUGAUAUUACAUUCAUAUGGGAUAUAUAUCUCAAUACAAGGGAUUUUCUUGUUACAGAAAAGACAAGAUGGUUCUAAGAGCCGUAGUGAGAAGUUUAACCCUCAUCCAGAAGAAGUAGCUUCUGGCUUUCCAAUUGAUCCACCUAGGCCAUCACAAGCCGUAGAUGCAAGUGUAGAACAUCAUGGACAUAAUCAUAAGCGAGCUUCCCAUUCAGGGCCAUUGGCUCACCGGGCUGCAUGGGCCAAGUCUACUAAGAACCCAGAUGAUGCUCCAAAGGUUUCAACUGGAGCUGACUUGUCAGCAAUGUCAGGUUUAGUGGUAGCAAGGAGGAGUAUGUUAUCUGAAGAACGCAGAAAAAGGUCUAGUUCUUCACAAAUGGAAGUUCCAAAAGCAAUAGGCAGGUUUCCGGGUUCCUUCAAGGAGGCAUCAGAUCCCCUACAACAAGAUCAAAAGCAGGUCAUUGAAGGUUCUCAUCAAAAAGAUAUUCGAAGCAACAAAGAUCCAAUUAUUGUGAGUACCUGAACUCACGCCUUUUCCCCUAUGAUGGGGUUUCCUUGUUGAUUUAUAAUCGCUUGUGUAAAAUAACCUCAAGGGUGUGCGUUUUGUUUUAAUUUUGAUUUGUGGUUCAUAAGCUAUUCUUUAUGGUUUAUGUUUCGUUUUUUUUUUGGUUUAUUCUUGUUGCCCAAUAGAUCACUUUUUAUUUCUGGUUAUUUCAGGUUGGUUACGGAUCAAAGGGUCACAAAAUGCACUACUCAGGUCCGUUGCUAGUCCCCUCUGGGAACGUGGAUCAGAUGCUGAAGGACCACGAUCUCCAGGUCCAGGAAGCUGUUAGACGAGCACGCCUAGACAAGGCAAAGGUCAGAAAAUUUCACGCUGAGGCGAACCAAAUAUCCACCAAUUCAUUAUUUGUUUCUGGUCGUUGAGCUGGCAUAAGUAGACCCGAAAGCAGAGCAUCAGCAACAGAAAAAUCACCGCAGAUAAAAUUGCUGGUUUUCUCUUGUGAAAUGUGAGUUAUUCAUUGGUGGGGGGUGCUUUUAUUUUUUUGUAUAGGGGGGGGGGGGCACUCGUGGAAGAAUAGCCGGUGCCCAUUUUUAACUAAGUUUAUAGCACACGCUCGCUUGCUCUCUCGCUCUCUCACCUGUAUCGUUUUCCCUCCUUUGCAACUGAAAAAUAUGGCCCAUUCUUGUAGAGCUUGUUAUAAGCCAUAAGCUGUAGAGUAUGUGGGAAAUAUGAAAAUUGUGUUUUGUGAUGGAAAAGAGUAAUUUCCUUGUGCUGUUCUAACCACCUUCCCCUUUGUCAACUUUAUUUAGUUUUUGGAUAAAAAAUGGGGAAGGGGUGAAUCUGUCUACUCUUUUGAGUUCACAUUUAUAAUUCUCACUGUAAUCAUGAUUAGCCCCCUUUUUCUUACAGCUUGACUGGAAUUCUAAUCAUAUGCUGCAGAAUUUCCUAAUCCUUUGAUUUUUGAGUCAUAUAUGAUCUUGAAAAUAGAGACUACCCAGAUGAUUACAUGAAGACUUGUACUUGCCUAAAUUUUUGUUGGGUAGAUUGACACUAUAAGGUUGAAAAAUGUAUCUGGCUGCGUUUGACUUCUUGUCAUAGGCAUUUUUUUAUUAGAACUUUAUUCUAAUCAAACCAACAUACGGAAAGGAGGUUUCAAACUGUUCUAGCCAACUUAGCUACGUCUAAGUCUGCUCUUGUCGUGGGCAUCGAAAGUCUACGUCUACACACUCCUUUUCUCCUUAUGCACAUCCUAUUUUUUCAUUCCUUGAUUCUCCUUUGGUUUACUUAAUCUAAAGGUUAGAAAUAAAUAAGUGUGUAAAGAAGUAUGCGGAUAUAAGUUCCCAAGUCGGCGUGCUUGUUCAGUCUGGGUUUUUACCACACAAAUGUUGACUUGGAAAAGUUGGGGUUUAAUUCAAUUUUGUUGCUUCUGGAAGGCAAGGCAAGUUCUAUAUAUUUUGACUGCAGGAUGAUGCAGAAGACUCAUAGCUUACUGCAGGUGCCAUAGAAUUCAAUGGAGUCCCUUCGAUUACUUGUACUAUUCCUAACAACCCUCUUUCUCCUCCAAUCAAGUUUUGCAGUUGAUUUCUCCUUCACUGGUUUCAACUCAUCUGAUAUCUUGCUCUAUGGAAAUGCAACCACAGAUUCUGGUGUUCUUUCUCUCACAACCAACACCACAUUUUCCAUUGGCAGAGCUCUAUACAAUGCCAAGGUUCCCACAAGGUAUCCAGAUUCCAUAAACCUUUUGCCUUUCACCACCUCUUUCACCUUUUCCAUAGCCCCAUACAAGGACUCUCUCCCUGGCCACGGAUUCGUCCUUGUUUUCGUUCCCUCUCCAGGCAUCCAAUCCGCCUCUGCAUCCCAACAUCUCGGCUUCUUGAACAAUACCAAUAACGGUAACCCCAACAACCACGCUUUUGGAGUCGAAUUUGAUGUGUUCCAAGACAAAGAAUUCGGUGACAUCAACGAUAAUCACGUCGGCGUUAACGUCAAUUCUCUAACUUCUCUGGCUUCUUACGACGCUGGAUACUGGCUUGGUGAGGGCAGUAGCAUUACUGACUUUUCUUUCAAGGAAAUAAAGCUGAGUAGCGGAGACAACUAUCAAGCUUGGAUUGAGUACUGGAAUUACCAGCUCAGCAUAACAUUGGCUCCUGAAAAUGUGAAGAAGCCUGAGAGGCCUUUGAUUAGGGUUCCUCUUGAUCUCUCUCAAGUUUUUCUUGAUGAAAUGUAUGUUGGUUUCACUGCAUCAACUGGCCAACCAAUUGAAGAUCAUAAAAUUCUGAACUGGAGCUUCAAUAAUUGAAGCUAGUAUAAUAUUUAGAGUAUUUCGUCGAUGUACUCUCUGAACUUGUAGGUCGUUUUUAAUUUUCCACUUUGUUUUUUUUAGAAUAAAUGGGACUCAAACUAUUAAAAAAAAAAAAGCCAAUUACCUCCGUGCCGUCAUAUUUCCUAUAUAGUGCUACAUCCAAUGUAUUUAUCUUGAAUAUGUGAGUUGGAAGAUUUGUACCUUCAGAAACAAGUAAGGUUCAUGACAUGCCUCAUUAACCUGGCUUAAUGGAGGCAUGAAAAUAUUUGUUUCUUGUUUUGAUUUUGAUUAUGUAAAAGUUGAUGGUAUUGUAAAACGAUUAUAAUUCUCGGUCCUUAUUCGUGCAUGAUCUUUGUGAUUUUAUAUUUGACAUUUUUUUUAUUCAAACGAUAUUCUAUUAUAAACUAUUCUAAUUUACAAAACAAAAAAA
rnacentral:lncRNA from 1 species